rnacentral:sRNA from 1 species
GCCAGGUGUGGUGAAGCACACCUGUAAUCCCAGUGGCUCAGGAGGCUGAGGCAGGAGAAUCAUGAGUUCAAAGCCAGCCUCAGCAACUUAGCUGAGGCCCUAAGUAACUCAGGGAGACCCUGUCUCUA